UAUUUAAAGAUUACUUUAGUGACCAAUUGAACUUAAGUCUUUACUGGUCAUGGAGCAAAGGAAAUGUUCUUUUAAAACUCAAGCAAAUUAAGUGUUUGUUUCAUGCCUUCUCAGAGGAAACAACA